UGGGGAAUUUUGGACAAUGGGGGCAACCCUGAUCCAGCAAUGCCGCGUGUGUGAAGAAGGCCUUCGGGUUGUAAAGCACUUUUGUCCGGGAAGAAAUCGCACCUGAUAAUACCGGGUGUGGAUGACGGUACCGGAAGAAUAAGGACCGGCUAACUACGUGCCAACAGCCACGGUAAUACGUAGGGUCCAAGCGUUAAUCGGAAUUACUGGGCGUAAAGCGUGCGCAGGCGGUUGUGCAAGACCGAUGUGAAAUCCCCGGGCUUAACCUGGGAAUUGCAUUGGUGACUGCACGGCUAGAGUGUGUCAGAGGGGGGUAGAAUUCCACGUGUAGCAGUGAAAUGCGUAGAGAUGUGGAGGAAUACCGAUGGCGAAGGCAGCCCCCUGGGAUAACACUGACGCUCAUGCACGAAAGCGUGGGGAGCAAACAGG
rnacentral:rRNA from 1 species